CGCAGACUUUGUCUUCUCUUUUUCAGAUGAAAGGGAGAUAAAAGUUCAAGCGGCGGAGAAUGGGUUUAAGCACAAGGGUUUUGUCAAGUCUCCCCUAUACGACGUCGUUUACUGACUGGGCUUUAGUUUGUUAGUUAAUUCGCGUGAAUGAGAAAGCCUUAUUUAUAGGCCCAUUAUUAUAAUCAAACGACUUAUUUAUAGGCCCAUUAACUUAGAUAGUAGUCAUAGUACUUAUGGAGAUAGACAAUAUUAUAAAGAGCUUCUUCUCACAAACUCUUUUAAGUCCACUCGCUACAAGCAACAAAAAUAUUCCAAGUUCAACAACAACAAUAACAAUGAUACUACUAUAAGAAGAGCAAACCAUACAAGACCCGAAUCGGGAAUUCAACAAUCCAACAAGUAAAAAAUAAGCAGAGGGAAAAGAUUUAAAACGAACAAACCAACAA